GACGAACGCUGGCGGCGUGCUUAACACAUGCAAGUCGAACGGAAAGGCCCUGCUUUUGUGGGGUGCUCGAGUGGCGAACGGGUGAGCAACACGUGAGUAACCUGCCCUUGACUUUGGGAUAACUUCAGGAAACUGGGGCUAAUACCGGAUAGGAGCUCCUGCUGCAUGGUGGGGGUUGGAAAGUUUCGGCGGUUGGGGAUGGACUCGCGGCUUAUCAGCUUGUUGGUGGGGUAGUGUCUUACCAAGGCUUUGACGGGUAGCCGGCCUGAGAGGGUGACCGGCCACAUUGGGACUGAGAUACGGCCCAGACUCCUACGGGAGGCAGCAGUGGGGAAUAUUGCACAAUGGGCGGAAGCCUGAUGCAGCAACGCCGCGUGCGGGAUGACGGCCUUCGGGUUGUAAACCGCUUUCGCCUGUGACGAAGCGUGAGUGACGGUAAUGGGUAAAGAAGCACCGGCUAACUACGUG
rnacentral:rRNA from 1 species